ensembl:lncRNA
ACACUCAGAAAAAUUAUGGUUCUUAAAUGGUUCUUCAGAUGUCUUCAUGGUUCUUUAAAGAACCAUCAUACGUCAAAGAACCUUUUUAUUUUGUGGAUGGUUCUUCAGCUAUUGCAAAUGGUUCUUUAAAGAACAAAAGGUUCUUCAUCCUUAGCAAUCUAAGUUUGAUGGUGUAAAUAGCAUAAAUAUUUAUUCACUAUAAUGAGGCUGUGAAUUAUACUGUGUGUUUUCUUUGUGUGCAUGUGUGUGCAAAGGGGGAGGGCGGGAUACCUGGCAAUUACCCUUUAAGAGAAGAUGGUAGGAAACUGAAUAUUCAAAUAAAAGUUAGAAAUAUUUGUAAACAGUAGACACAAUACACACAUUCAAGUACUGUACUUUAGUUUUAAAUUUUAAUAAAGCAUUACUAUUUUCUACUCCAAGGCAUUACUUUUGAGAUUAUUAUAUAUUUUUGAAAAUAUAGUAUAAUGAUAAUACUAGUUAUUGUAAACUUUACAAACCACCCAGCAGUAUGUAAAGUCAAAUUAUAAAAUACAAGUAAAUAACAAUUGCAGAACAGAAUGUCAGUGUAAUGAACACACACUUCGUUUUGACAAAGCACACUGCUUAGGUAAAUGAUCUGAGUAGUUGUUCAUCACUGAGCAAUUUGUUAAUAUGUGUUUCGAGUCAAAUAAAUGACAGGGAGAGAGAGUGACGUCAGAAGACGUCAUACUAUAACCUUCCGGGAGCGGACGGAGGGGGUCAGUCGUUGGGAUGCGCAUGCGCAGACAGAGUGUGCGAGCGGCGGGCCUUGACCUUUCGGGAAAAAAAACUCACGGACGGUGACAGCGAAACGGAUAACAGUCUUCAGUACCUGCUGGACUUUGAAGCUGUGGAUUCUGGGACUGUUAGAAAAGCUCCAACAAAAUGAGGAAGAGGAGGGGCAGAAACACAAUUAGGUUGAAUUAAAAUUGGAUGGAAGGCGAGGACAAGGAGAAGGAAGCUUAGGAUGAGGAGGAAGAGAAGCAGCAGGAGCAUCUUUAGGGAUCCCUAUGAUGUCAUUGAGAGGCAGCGGCGAGAGGGGAGACCUCGGCUCAUCCAGCUGGAGAGCCUGACCAGGAGGAGUCGAACAUUAACUCAGCUCUUCCAGGGCACCCUGCAGACUCGGCUGCUGGCAUCGGCGAGGGAUGACGUGAACGCCAAACUGGAGUCCAUCACAGGUCAACUGCAGCUCCUUGUCUCAGAGUGGGAGGGAUUUGAAGCACAAAGGGAGGAGCUUGUCGUUUGGUUGGCUGAUAUGGAUGUCCGCCUGAGAGGUUGACCAGCUGACAGGAAACACCAGUGAAAAACUGAAACAACUGCAGGUGUGGGCUUGUUUUGAUAUGACAUAUGUUUGAUAUGAAACAUACGUCAGAGACAUUGUCCUUAACUGGACUAACAAAGGACCAUGAGUACAACAUGAAAAGUACAUUACAUGGUGUAAUGCUAAAGUUCAUUGAUCAUUUUAAUCAUAAACUUGUUGAAAUAUUUUUACUGAACAUGCAAACAUCUGCUGAUGAAAAUGUGUUGAUUUAUUGGUCUGUUAUGAAGCUAUUGCUAUUUCUAAUGUGUUUUAUCACUUUCUGAUGUUUUAUUAAUUAAACAAUACAUGUAUUAUUUGUUGUGUUAUCUGUAGCUAUAGUAUUUAUAUAUAUUUAUUUAUAGUAUAGCAAAUAUAUUUAAUUAUUACUGUUUAAAACACUAAUAUGUGACAUGUAUUAGUAGUGAUGUUGUGCUGAGGGCUAAAAUGCCUUUUUGUCUUUUGGUAACUACAAAAUGACAAUAAACCAUUAAUAUAUGUCUAUGCUGUGCUCGUAUUUAUUUUACCCUACUCAAAUUCAAUUUAUGAUGCAUUUUAUUUUGAAAGAUUUAAAAUGGUUUUUUAAAGAACCAC